UGUCGAUCGUGGGGUCUCGUCUGCUCGAGCCUCCUCACGACCUGUUCCAAAUAUAAUAUUAAUUUCCCAACCAAUAAUCCAAUAUUUAAUCAAAAUAGGCAAAAUUACCCGAGAGUCAUAAUUACGCUCAUCAUUGCCUAACUUCGAUAUUCUUACAUCGGACGAUCCGAACUUAAAUAUCAUACUCCACAGUCGUAAAUAUAACCUCCUCAAAAUACGACUUAAAUCCUACGGCCGGAUUCUACAUUAAUUAACCGCCAAAAAUACCAAACUUCGGAAAAUCACAAACCUAUCCAAAUCUCAUCCAAAAAUUCCAUAAAUCACACCAAUAUACUCCUCUUAAUAUUCCACAUUUAAAACCCUAAAAAUCUCCUAACCGGCGGAGGCGCCGCCGGCGGCUCCGCCGGCAGCCGUUUUCCGGCGACCUGCAAAUGCUACCAAAUUUUAACAGAAUCUUCCUCUCAAUCUCCUCUACAACUUUCAUGACUAACACAUCACCCAAUUCCAAGCCUAACUAGGCUAAUCGAACGAAAACAACUUAAACACCAUAAAACUUCCACCUCAAAUUUCUCCUUACCUAGCUCAAGAGGGAGGGAGCUGUUUGGAGGGGUUGUUGCAAGGGAGGAGGGCUACAAAACCGUACCAAGCUUGCCCGGAUUGGUGGCCGGAGGAGGAAGUUCCGGCGAAGUGAAGGUUUGGACAGUCGGACCUUACGGGUGGCACCGCUCCUUCACGGCGGCGCUAGGGCUCCUCUCACCGGUCUAGAAAUGUUGCUGGGAGGGAGACCGACCGAACGGGACCGGUCCGGCGGCGAACGGAGGUCGGACGGCGGCGGGAGGGCGGCCGGAACUCUUCUGGGUGUAGAGAGGAGAAAACCGGGUGGGAGGAAAGAAAAUCGGGAGAGAGGGAGAAGAGAAAAGAAGAAGAAAUGGGUUGGGCUCGGCCCAGCCGACCCAACACUCCUUUUAACUUAAAAUUCCA
rnacentral:lncRNA from 1 species